UUGUCUCAAAGAUUAAGCCAUGCAUGUCUCAGUACAAGCCAAAUUAAGGUGAAACCGCGAAAGGCUCAUUAAAUCAGUUAUGGUUCCUUAGAUCGUACCCACAUUUACUUGGAUAACUGUGGUAAUUCUAGAGCUAAUACAUGCAAACAGAGCUCCGACCGGAAACGGAAGGAGCGCUUUUAUUAGAUCAAAACCAAUCGGUGGCGGUUCGCCGUCAUCGUACAAUUUGGUGACUCUGAAUAACUUUAAGCUGAUCGCACGGUCUUGCACCGGCGACGCAUCUUUCAAAUGUCUGACUUAUCAACUGUCGAUGGUAGGUUCUGCGCCUACCAUGGUUGUAACGGGUAACGGGGAAUCAGGGUUCGAUUCCGGAGAGGGAGCCUGAGAAACGGCUACCACAUCCAAGGAAGGCAGCAGGCGCGCAAAUUACCCACUCCCGGCACGGGGAGGUAGUGACGAAAAAUAACGAUACGGGACUCAUCCGAGGCCCCGUAAUCGGAAUGAGUACACUCUAAACCCUUUAACGAGGAUCAAUUGGAGGGCAAGUCUGGUGCCAGCAGCCGCGGUAAUUCCAGCUCCAAUAGCGUAUAUUAAAGUUGUUGCGGUUAAAAAGCUCGUAGUCGAAUCUGUGUCCCGCGCCGCCGGUUCAUCGUUCGCGGUGUUAACUGGCGUGCCGCGGGACGUCCUGCCGGUGGGCUUAGCUCGUCAGGGCGGCCCAACUCAAUCCCGCCGCGGUGCUCUUCAUUGAGUGUCGAGGUGGGCCGGCACGUUUACUUUGAACAAAUUAGAGUGCUUAAAGCAGGCUAAAACUUCGCCUGAAUACUGUGUGCAUGGAAUAAUGGAAUAGGACCUCGGUUCUAUUUUGUUGGUUUUCGGAACCCCGAGGUAAUGAUUAAUAGGAACGGAUGGGGGCAUUCGUAUUGCGACGUUAGAGGUGAAAUUCUUGGAUCGUCGCAAGACGGACAGAAGCGAAAGCAUUUGCCAAAAACGCUUUCAUUGAUCAAGAACGAAAGUUAGAGGUUCGAAGGCGAUCAGAUACCGCCCUAGUUCUAACCAUAAACGAUGCCAGCUAGCGAUCCGCCGACGUUCCUCCGAUGACUCGGCGGGCAGCUUCCGGGAAACCAAAGCUUUUGGGUUCCGGGGGAAGUAUGGUUGCAAAGCUGAAACUUAAAGGAAUUGACGGAAGGGCACCACCAGGAGUGGAGCCUGCGGCUUAAUU
rnacentral:rRNA from 1 species